CGAACUUGGUGGCAUAGACCCAUGCAUUGUUAGCCACAGGGUCAUCCAAAUGGUCCAAAAGGUUCUCCAAUGGUCCUUUCCCUGUUACAAUUGCUUGAACAAAAAACCCAAACAUUGAAAACAUUGCUAGUCUUCCAUUCUUGAUUUCCUUCACUUUCAACUCGGCAAAGGUAACCGGGUCGUCAGCAAGUCCCAACGGGUCAAAAUACUGACCACCCGGGUACAAGUUGUUACCAUCUCCAACACCAUCGAGCCCGUUGAUACGGAACCCUUCGACUAGGCCCAUUAGGACCACUUGAAAACCGAGUACUGCUAGUAUGCUUUGUGCGUGGACCAGGUUAGGGUUGCCCAAGUAGUCUAGCCCACCUUCUGAGAAGAUUUGGGAUCCGGCUUUGAACCAAACGGGCUCCUUGAAAUCCACUUUGACCCAUUUUGCAAGGACUUCGGGCGUGAUGGAGCCCAGUGCUCCGAGCAUUGCCCAUCGCCCGUGGAUCACCUCAAGAGCCCGGUUUUUAGCGAAUGCCUCGGGAUCAGCAGACAAACCAGCUGUAUCCCAACCAUAGUCGCCUGGGAAUUCACCGGUCAGGUAGGAUGGUGUUUGAGCCGAAAAUGGGCCCAAGUACUUCACACGGUCUGGUCCAUACCACAAGUCAUUUCCCUAUUAAAUUUCACAAUAAAUAAUUAAAUAUCAUCAGUUUACUGCAAUGUUGCAAAAGUCGUUAGAAGCUAGUUGAUCUAAGGUUAGUCGAGAUACAUAAAUUGUAAACCAUUUAAUUAUAGAAAAAUCAAAUAUAACCAAGAUCCAAAUACACAUUUUCUACUACAAAUACAACAAUAAUAUUUUUAGACACAUCUUUUAAUUACAAAAAUCAGAUAUGUAACAUUUGAAAAAAUUAAUAUUCUGUAAUUUUUGGAGCUAAUUUUUCAUUUAUAAACAUAUUAACGGCAGCAGUGAAUUUACAUAAAUGUUGUGAGAGGGAUAGAUUUACCAUGGUGAAUUUGCCAUUGACCAUGGAGACAGAAUCUCUAAGGGUGUUGGCAUUGGAUCCUUUGGUUUGACCCAAGAAAGGGGUGGCUCGGACCACAGUUGAG
rnacentral:lncRNA from 1 species